GUAAAAGUCGUAACAAGGUUUCCGUAGGUGAACCUGCGGAAGGAUCAUUACCGAGUGAGGGCCCUCUGGGUCCAACCUUCCCCACCCGUGGUUUAUUUUACCUUGUUGCUUCGGCGGGCCCGCCUUAACUHGGCCGCCGGGGGGCUUACGCCCCCGGGCCCGCGCCCGCCGAAGACACCCUCGAACUCUGUCUGAAGAUUGAAGUCUGAGUGAAAAUAUAAAUUAUUUAAAACUUUCAACAACGGAUCUCUUGGUUCCGGCAUCGAUGAAGAACGCAGCGAAAUGCGAUACGUAAUGUGAAUUGCAAAUUCAGUGAAUCAUCGAGUCUUUGAACGCACAUUGCGCCCCCUGGUAUUCCGGGGGGCAUGCCUGUCCGAGCGUCAUUGCUGCCCUCAAGCCCGGCUUGUGUGUUGGGCCCCGUCCCCCGAUCUCCGGGGGACGGGCCCGAAAGGCAGCGGCGGCACCGCGUCCGGUCCUCGAGCGUAUGGGGCUUUGUCACCCGCUCUGUAGGCCCGGCCGGCGCUUGCCGAUCAACCCAAAUUUUUAUCCAGGUUGACCUCGGAUCAGGUAGGGAUACCCGCUGAACUUAAGCAUAUCAA
rnacentral:rRNA from 1 species